GGGCCCGUAGCUCAGCUAGGUUAGAGCGACAGAAAUUUUCCUUGUCGAAGCUCAUAACCUGUUGGUCGGGAGUUCAAGUCUCCCCGGGCCCA
rnacentral:tRNA from 1 species